UAGAAUGAAGCCCGCUGGAUUGGGUUUUUAGCUGUUAAUUAAAUUUUUACGGGAUCAAGGCCCGUCAUUCUAG
rnacentral:tRNA from 1 species